rnacentral:siRNA from 1 species
UUAGCCUUAAAAAACGAUCAUGC